rnacentral:rRNA from 1 species
UACGUAGGUGGCAAGCGUUGUCCGGAAUUAUUGGGCGUAAGGCGCGCGCAGGCGGUUUCUUAAGUCUGAUGUGAAAGCCCACGGCUCAACCGUGGAGGGUCAUUGGAAACUGGGAAACUUGAGUGCAGAAGAGGAAAGUGGAAUUCCACGUGUAGCGGUGAAGUGCGUAGAGAUGUGGAGGAACACCAGUGGCGAAGGCGACUUUCUGGUCUGUAACUGACGCUGAGGCGCGAAAGCGUGGGGAGCAAAC